rnacentral:lncRNA from 1 species
GGGAUUUGGAGACCCAGGGAGAUCCGGGCACAGGUGCACCCGCCCUCCCUUGUUUGUUGAAGCGUUUGGAUCACCCCGGGGCUUUUGGAUCACGCCUUGCUCCAUCCUUGCUCUCAGAAUCUGAGCUUAGCACUGGGCUCGACCAGCCUAAAGACCUAGGGCCUACUACGGAAAAUUUCUCUCCCAAGCAAGUGCAAAGCGGGAAAGCCGUUGCAGCUUAGCACUCUGAAGUCCUCCUGCCUCUGCGGAGAUAAGAGAGCCGCUGUCCUGGAGAGCAGAGAUAGCCUAGGGCCCCCAGGCCUGAAGAUGGGCUCUGACGGUUAAUGAUCCUCUGUAGGCCUUAAACAACGCCCUUGAUUUGAGGCACGACUAAGUAUGCCAACACAGCCAUUUCCCUUCAUUAUGCAAUUUUUAUUUUAAAAUUGGAAUUUAAAGGAGUAUUUGGUUGGUUGAUUUGGAUUUUCUAGACAGGGUUCUCUAUGUUGUCCUGAAACUCAAGAGAUCCGACUGCCUCUGCUUCCCGAGAACCAGGAUUAAAGGCCUACGCCAAAACAGCUGGAAUUAAAAGGAUUAUUUGCAAUUUUGAUUCUGGGUUAAUUUGGUAGAAGAGCCUGGGGUACCUGAGUCUUGCUCCCAGAGUGUGUUUCAGCUACAGCAGGCUCAUCAGUCAGCAACAACGUGUUUGAAUUCAAACCAGUUUGCCUUUGACGUGUCUUUAAAUGUCUCAGCCCUAAAGAACAAGGAAAAAGACUUUUCCUGGACACCCGCAUUCUGGGAGCUAGGUUAAAUACCCACCUGAACUGUUCUGGAUGAUUCCAGGGUUAAUCUGUCCAAAUCAAAGGAUAAACACAUCAGCUUUUGACGUGUGUAGCUCUGGGACAGAUACUCCAGAAAGUAUUUCACAUCUUUCCAAUUGAAUACUGCAACCAUUUAAACCCUUACAUUUCUGUUGCAGGGCUAUUCAUGGAAGCUUACCCAGCUUUCAUUCAGUUUUAUUUGUUUCAUUUUCUUUGGCACUUUUAAACUUAGCCAAGAUAGCCAACUUCAAAAAUGGACACCACUCCCCUAUCAAGCACUGUAAGACUCCAGAGAGCCUUAGCUUACCGAGGACCCCCUGAGUGAACCAUGUGGAGCCGGAAUUUGAUGCAAAAAGCAAAAGGAAUUUAUUUUGUUUGUUUGUUUGUUUGUUUUUCGAGACAGGGUGUCUCUGUGUAGCCUUGGAUGUCCUGGAACUCACUCUGUAGACCAGGCUGGCCUCGAACUCAGAAAUCCGCCUACCUCUGCCUCCUUAGUGCUGGGACUAAGGGCGUGUGCCACCAUGCCCGGCGCAAACGGAAUUUAUUGUUCCAGUGCACUGGGAUCGUCCCAGACCCGAAGGAGAGGUGACAACCCCCAGCACCAGUUCAGCGAGUUUUUAUAUGGUUUCCAGGGGCAGGACAGAGCAUCAGCAACUAGGCACAAUAUGAUUGGCAGAACAGCGCACCCUUUAAACUGAUUGGUCUUUAGGGAAUGAGGUGACAAGAACUUCCCUUGUCUGAAGCCCUGUUUCCAAGUCCUGAUGACACAUGAUUGGAAUUGAGCUGGAAAAAUGGCAUAGUUGCAACAUCUGAGCCUUCUUAGCCAAAGAGGGGGAUGUCUUUAAAUGAGGCAAUAUCUUUUUGUCAGCUCUUGGCUCUGAGGUUACAAGACAAACCAUCAGACAAAAACAUGUGAAGAAAAUUUCUGAGAACUCUCAACUCUAAGUACCACAGGGUCAGGGCACAAAGCACAGCAGCCUCACUCCUCCCACAGUCCUGGUUCACUCUUGAGAACCAGUUCCCAGCUGCUGAUGUAACCUCAGCACUAAGCAGGCAUCUUUGCAGAGCCUGGGCAAAGGGGCUGGAAAGUCUCACUGAGCUGGCAUACGAACCUUGAUGGAAGAUCUCUGCCUGCUUUGUGUUCACAUGCUAUGGCAUUCCAACACACCCUGCCACUCUCAGCCCUCCAGCCCUGUACCCAUCUGCAAAUUGACUCUCCAAGGAGUGUGCUACAAACCCUGUGUUCAGGCAGUCCCUGGACCAUGCCCAUCACACUGACUUUAAAGUGAAGAUGCCAGAUGCUGCUGAACUAGCCCUACAUGCUUCACAGAAAACAUCACUUCCAAAUGGACUACAAAUAACUAGGGUGUACAAAUGCCACCAGAGAGCAGACAUAAGGGACUAGGUGAGAACCUAGCUGAAGUUUUUUAGAUCGUCCCAUUCCUUAAUUGAUCUAGAGAGGGAGCAGCCUUUUUUUUUUUUAAAUUUCAUUUAUUUAUUUAUUUUUGUGCAACAUUUGUGGGUGCUUAGGGGCAGUGGUAACAUGCUACCGGACAGGAGCACCGCUAGGGGGCGCGAGCGCCACACGCAGCACUGGGGAUCUUCGAAGACCUGUCCUUUCUUUCCUGAAAGAGUUCCAAGCUUGCAGACAAGAGGCCAACGUGAAUUAAGAAUAUUAGAAUAAUUUCAGCCAAAAACUAAUGUUACUUAUCACACUUAUCUUUACAUUUAAUAAUUCCUAAACGGCUUUGGAGUUGGAAUCAACUUGGGUCGGAGAAUCUUUAGUGCUUCCUUCCUUGCCCAGCUGCAAGAAGCCAGGGCAAUGGACAGAGCUUUCUGCUCCUGGACUGGGGGUGUUCUGAGGUCCCCAGUGCUCUCUGUGUGGAUCACAGUGGUUCUCUGCAGAAGUAACUUUAAGACAAAAAUUCAUCCUCUUAUUUUACCUCCCAAACUAGAUGCAUAAAUUGUAGUCAGUCAUAUUUAACUUUAUGUAGUAUCUUACAGAUGUCCUCAGCACAUAUUAAUUUCACAAUAAUCCAGCAAGUAAACAGGAUUGUAAUCAAUACUUGCAGAUGAGGAAACUGAAAAACAAUGAAGUGAAAUAUGGUGCCUGGAAUCCGCUGCUGACAAACAACAGAGCCUAGAAAGGGCACAUCUCAGACUAAGUCUGGAACUCUCUCACCUGCCCUCAUGGCUCCAGCAUGGAAGUGUAUGACAGGCAGGCCAAACUAACACAGAACAACCCUGAACACCAAACUGUGUGUAGGAUGAACUAGAGACCCCUCUCAGUGGUUUACGGCACUUGCUGCUGUGGCAAAGGAAGUAGGGUUCAGUUCCCAGCAUCCACUUGUUACAAUUCUCUCUCCACAAGAUCUUCCUACUUCCUCAGACACUGAGCUCAUUUGGUGCAUGUACAUACACACGGACAAACACUUAUACUCAUAUAAUGGAUUUUAAAAAGAACUAGCCUCAAC